rnacentral:rRNA from 1 species
AGCGAACGCUGGCGGCAGGCCUAACACAUGCAAGUCGAACGGACCUUUCGUGGUUAGUGGCGGACGGGUGAGUACCACCUGGUAACGUGCCCUUAGGUUCGGUAUCACUCACGGAAACUUGUGCUAAUACCGCAUGUGCCCUUCGGGGGAAAGAGUACUCGCGUUUUGAUCGGCGGGCGACUGAUUAGCUAGUUGGGUAGGGUCAUGGCUCACCAAUGCGACGAGCAGUAGCUGGUGUGUGCGGAUGAUCAGCCACAUUGGGACUGAGACACGGCCCAAAAUCCUACGGGAGGCAGCAGUAGGGUAUCCUGCGCAAGGGGCGAAAGCCUGACGCAGCCAUGCCGCGUGAAUGAUGCAGGGCUUAGGAUUGUAAAAUUCUUUCACCGGGGACGAUAAUGACGGUAACCGGAGAAGAAGCCCCGGCUAACUUCGUG